UUUUCUUCUUUAUCCCUCCCAAAUUUCCUCAUCCUUUAGUGUCUUCCGUUGACAGGUGCCCGUCGUGUAACACCCCCUAGUUUUAUACCCAUUUAGUAACUAUUUGUGUUAAGUUAUUUAAUGAAAAUAAUUUUUAAUUUCUUUUCUUUAGAAUACUUUUUUUUAACUAGCUUUGACUUUGCCGUAUAAGUGGUCAAAAAUAAACUCCUAAUUCUCCUAGGUUAAAUACAGUACUAAUACUUAUCAUUUUCCCAUUACAAGAAGACAUAAAGUAGAAAAAGAAAAGAGUGUACAUUAUCCAAAUCCUCCAUAACUCAAGCCAACAUCUUAUACUUUUAUUUAAUUCCUCACCUCCAUCAACAUUAAAUAUACAAAACUUCCAUCAACCAUGAUCAUACUCCAACUAUCUUUCAUCCAUCUUCACCAUAUUGCAGGUUGUGGAUUUGUUUUCGAUGAAGGAAAACUUUGUUCUUGGGCUUGCGUUUCAUGUCGAGAAUCGGAUUAAAGAAAAGAUUUUUGGAUCCUUUGGAGAAUAAUUUCACUGUCAUUUAAUUUCCUUAAUCAAGUACCUAUACAUAGUUACCUUUUGGUUGGGUUACGUUAAAGAGUAUGUUAGAUCUCCUUUAGCUUAAUAGGCUUUAAAAAGACUUUCCCCUAUUAUUUAUUUCACUUUAGAAUUUAUAUUCUCACUACCACAAAUUGCCACUUGUGCCAUGGUAAGAAUCGUGGCCCAAGUUAAAGAAACCCGUGGCUAUGUAAUCUAGCCACGGGAAUUUCGGAAUGUACUCCCGUGGCGCAAGUGGCCGUGGCUAAGAUUUUGCCACGGGAAAAUAGAGGGUGUGGCGUAAAGUGAAAUGUAUGCCACGAAUACUCCCGUAGCUAAAAAUAUCCUUUGCCACGAGUAUUACCGUGGCUACAAAGCCUUUGACUCAAGUACUAUUGUGGCUAAAAUAAUCCUUUGCCAUGAAUUUUACUGUGGCUAACAAAUCUUUGACUACAAUUUUCUCUCAUGGCUAAACAAUUCAGUAUGCAUAAGAUCUCCCGUGACAAGAAAGAGAGUAUACGAUUUUAUAUAUGUUACCAAUUUCAUAUGCCAAAUAUAUAUUAUUGUGCAAAUAAAUAUAUAGUAAACCAUAAUUUUUGAUAUGGAAUAACGAAAUAUUAUUAUUAAUAGAAAAUUUCUAAUAUCUUUACAUUAAAAUGUACUUGAAAUAAAAAGUUCCAUUGGCAACUAAAUAAAAACACAAUAUUCUCCAAUCUUUUUACAUAGAAAAAUUAUAAACUACAUAGUACUUUGAUUGUAACUAAGAAUGCGUCUUGUGCUUGAUAAUAUGUACCCUCUUUCUCCAAUCUGUAACAAAUCAAAAAAAAAUUGUUAAAAUACAAUAGUGACAUCCAUUAAUCUUGCUUUGAUUGAACACAAAUUAAGAACCAAACAAAAUGCAUUAACAAUAUUAGUGUCAGGUCAAAGAAGAAUAACUGUAAGCAAUAUCAGUUGCACAAAUAAGCUUCCCAUUCAAUCUCUUACCUACACCCUGUCUUGCUAAGACAAGGUUUCUUGAAUAAAAUUGUCUGCAGAAACUAUUGACAAGUGACAACCCCCAAUUAUUUAAAAGCAGUGCUGGACCAUUAAGCUCUAGCUCUUUGGAUACGUUAGUAGCUCUCAGUGCACUAGCUCUUCAAUUUCAUAUUAUGAAGACUCGGUAUAACAUCCCUCAAGAAAAUUUUCAAAUGCUUCAAACCUCAAACUUAUUCUCCCAAAACCCACCAGCAACUAAAAAAUGGAAUUGUAACCCAAAGUUCCAUUUCGAAUUAGCUCCAAAGGUUUCAAAAAUCGAUAUAUAAUCACAUACUCAAAAAAAAUAAAAGAUCUUACUUAACAAUAUGCAAGAUGAGGUCAUAUCACUAUUGUGGAAUCCUCCUGAAUGGAUACAACAAAGAGAAUCCUCCUAUACUUCGAAUCCUAAAACUACCAAAUCUCCACCUUUUCUUUGCUAUAGUUUCACCAAAUAAAGAAGCAAACUUUGAAGUUAAGCUGCUUCUAAAUUUUUUCCUUUUCUGUGGGUUGAGAGAGCCUUGAAUUAUGUUUAUUACUCCAUAUGCAUGCUCAAAUUUAUGAGAAAUGGGUUAUUCAUAUCAGGCUUGGUUAUACAAUCCAUUACUUUAACUGAAUAGUUAAUCGAUUGAGCCAUUCAAAUUUCAGGUGUGUUAUUUGGGCAGGUCAAUCUCAGCUUGGGUAAAAAACCAGGUAUCAAGUACGGUUCACGUCUAGGUCCGAUUGGAGUCACUUUGUGAUAAUUUCAUGAUAUAUAUAAGAAAUUCUAAGCAACAAAUAGAACAAGAAUAUAUCAUUGAGCUACAAAAUCCUAACAUAUGACAGCCAAUUGCAAUGCUAUUAAACUUACCUAAAAACCAUUCUUUGAAUAGGGUCCCUAUCAUCUCAAGUUCGCAUUCCAUAUGACAGGUCUCACGUUCACAUUCACACUAAUAUUUAGAAGUACCCCCGAAAGCAAAUGAUGUGGAGUGGAACACCUAAAGCACAAAGUUCGAAGGUCACUCAACACUCUGGACAUUAACACACUCCAAGCUCUCUGAUGCAAUCUGAUCAACUGACAAGAACCAUGAGUUUGUCAAAUAUCGACUCUACAAUCUCAGCUCGCUGCCUUACUCAAACAACCCAAAUAAAAAAGCAUUAAAAAUCCCGAGCCUUCUUAGAAGCCAACAACCACAAAGUCACCAUAAUCCAAAAGGCCAUAUUUACACACUCCCAUGAGCCAUGAGUCUAAGGAAAUCGUCAAAUCUAUUUUCAAAUUCCAUCCACUGUAAUAUUUUCUUUUGGACAUCUGAAUCAUCCAUGAUUGAGAAGAUUUCUUACUACAAGAUAAGCAAUAUAAAAUAUUUAAUAAUUAUAAAUGACACUAAUAUAUAUAGUUCAAGUUUGAAAUUAGGACAAUCAAUUACACAAAAAAAGAAGCAACAAAAAAUAGAGUAAUGGGAAAGUACCAAAAUCAUGUCGUAGAUAAAAAUGAGAAAUUUGCUUCACCUAAAAUAUGGAAAGCAGAUGAAACUAAGUAUUUCUUUUGUUUAUUAUAGUUUCGAAUUUUAAAUACACAAUCUCAAAUACCAACUUCAAGCAAGCACACAGGAAACUCAAACUAGAUGGCAAAGAUAAAACUGGUAGGUGCAACAAGAGUAAUAAAAUUUCAGAUUAUGGAAAUAAUAGAAUGAAACUGUAACUGUAAAGAGUGAUUACUGUGCAACCUUUUUCUUGUGAAAGUGGGGAUUUGAACUCUACAUAUUUUUAACAAUGUAGCUGAUCAUAUGGGGGCACAAAGAACGAAUUCGAAGGAACUUUUUCCUACUACAACUUUUUCCUAAUGCUAUACUAAUGCACAACAUUAGCAUAGCAUUUAUAGUUAUGUUAGGCAUUUAUAGUUAGAAUAUUGCCUUGGCACAUUUUGUCAAGCUUGUGGCCGAUUUUUUGUAUAUACAUUGUCCAUGUUUUCAAUUUUUUAGGCCAAUAAAGGCAGCAAUAUUAACAAUCGCAAUUCGGUUGAACCAAAGGCAAGUCUAUGUAACUGCAGUUAUGAUUAUGAAUCCAAGAAUCAAAUAGAUGUAUGAUUAUCAUGAAGGGUAGGAAAAAAGGAGUAACCUUACAAUAUUUAACUAUAAUAAUGUAUUGACUUUUUGAUAUCUUUUCUAAUAUUACUAGCUCUUGCCAAUUCUAUCAAUA